GAUGGUGCUAGCAUAUAUAAGACUGAAACACCAAAGGCCUCCGUGGAAGUUAAUGAACUUCUGGUUAUGAGUUGGAUUCUUCAGCGGAGUAUUUGAGCCAUGCAUACUUCAAGUUGCUGCAUCCAGUUUUAAACUCCAGAUUGGGCUUUACAUAUUAAACAUGCACAUUUGUUUUCACAUUUUUGAGCUUUGCCAGUGGCACCCUCUCUAAUUAAUCAUCCCACGGGCUUAGAAAACUUCUGCCCAAUCCUUUCUGAUUUGUUAAAAGAAAGAGAGGAGGUUUUAGUCUGAAAAAGGCCUUAUCU
rnacentral:lncRNA from 1 species